GGGUUGCGCCCCUUGUGACCGGGCGCCACUGCGCCACCUUGACAUGGUGGGGGUCGUUGGUUCGAAUCCAAUCGCGCCUACCA
rnacentral:tRNA from 1 species